AACUUGGGGACAUCUGGGGACAUCUUGAAGACCACAAGGGCCAUCUUGGGGACCAUGGGGACGUCCUGGUGGCCUUGGGGACGUCCUGAAGACCAUGGGGACAUCUGAGGACAUCCUGGUGGCCUUGGGGACAUCCUGGAGAUCUUGGGGCUAGCUAAGGGACCUUGGGGACGUCCUGGUGGCCUUGGGGACGUCCUGAAGACCAUGGGGACAUCUGAGGACAUCCUGGUGGCCUUGGGGACAUCCUGGAGAACUUGGGGACAUCUGAGGACAUCCUGAAGACUUUGGGGACAUCUUGGAGAUCAUGGGGACAUCUUGGGGACCAUGGGGACGUCCUGGUGGCUCUGGGGACAUCUGGGGAUAUCUUGAAGACCAUGGGGACAUCUGAGGACAUCCCGGUGGCCUUGGGGACAUCCUGAAGAUCUUGGGGCUAUCUAAGGGACCUUGGAGACGUCCUGGUGGCCUUGGGGAAAUCUUGGGGACAUCCUGAUGACCCUGGGGACAUCUUGAGGAGCACAGGGACGUCCUGGAGAUGAUGGGAACCCCUUGAGGACCACAGGGGACAUCUUGAGGAGCACAGGGACGUCCCGAUGACCUUGGGGACAUCUUGAGGACCACAGGGGACGUCCUGAGGUCCAUGGGGACAUCGUAAAGUCCUUGGGGACAUCUUGAGGAGCACAGGGACAUCCUGGAGAUGAUAGGAACCUCAUGAAGACCACAGGGACGUCCCGAUGACCUCGGGGACAUCCUGAGGACCUUGGAGCCAUCUUGAGGACCUUGGGGACAUCUCGAGGACCUUGGGGACAUCUUGAGGACCUUGGGGCCAUCUUGAAGACCACAGAGACGUCCUGAUGACCUUGGGGACAUCUUGAGGACCUUGGGGACAUCCUGAUGACCUUGGGGACAUCCUGAGGACCACGAGGACAUCUUGAGGACCUUGGGGACAUCCUGAGGACCUUGGGGCCAUCUUGAGGGCCUUGGGGACAUCUUGAGGGCCACGUGCACAUCCUGAGGACCUUGGGGCCAGCUUGAGGACCUUGGGGACAUCCUGAGGACCACAAGGACAUCUUGAUGACCUUGGGGACAUCUUGAAGACCACAGAGAUGUCCCGAUGACCUUGGGGAUAUCUUGAAGACCAUGAGGACAUCUUGAGGGCCUUGGGGACAUCCUGAGGACCUUGGGGACAUCUUGACGACCAUAGGGACAUCUUGAGGACCACGAGGACAUCUUGAAGACCGCAGAGACGUCCUGAUGACCUUGGGGCCAUCUUGAUGACCUUGGGGACAUCCUGAGGACCUUGGGGACAUCUUGACGACCAUAGGGACAUCUUGAGGACCACGAGGACAUCUUGAAGACCGCAGAGACGUCCUGAUGACCUUGGGGCCAUCUUGAUGACCUUGGGGACAUCCUGAGGACCUU
rnacentral:lncRNA from 1 species